UACAGAGGGGGCAAGCGUUAUUCGGAAUUAUUGGGCGUAAAGGGCGCGUAGGCGGCUUGGCAAGUGGAUGGUGAAAUCCCUCGGCUUAACCGAGGAACUGCCGUCCAAACUGCUUCGCUUGAGACCGGGAGAGGUGAGUGGAAUUCCCAGUGUAGCGGUGAAAUGCGUAGAUAUUGGGAGGAACACCAGUGGCGAAGGCGGCUCACUGGACCGGUACUUACGCUGAUGCGCGAAAGCGUGGGGAGCAAACGGG
rnacentral:rRNA from 1 species